CAUACAGUCCUCGCUUUUGUGUACCGUAAGGUGGUACACGAAUAAGGGCUGGGCAAGACCGGUGCCAGCCGCCGCGGUAAUACCGGCAGCCCGAGUGAUGGCCGAUAUUAUUGGGCCUAAAGCGUCCGUAGCCGGCCGGUCAAGUCCGUUGGGAAAUCUGUCCGCUUAACGGGCGGGAGUCCAGCGGAAACUGUCCGGCUUGGGACCGGAAGACCCGAGGGGUACGUCCGGGGUAGGAGUGAAAUCCUGUAAUCCCGGGCGGACCACCGAUGGCGAAAGCACCUCGGGAGGACGGAUCCGACGGUGAGGGACGAAAGCUAGGGUCUCGAACCGGAUUAGAUACCCGGGUAGUCCUAGCCGUAAACGAUGCCCGCUAGGUGUGACGCAGGCUACGAGCCUGCGCUGUGCCGUAGGGAAGCCGUGAAGCGGGCCGCCUGGGAAGUACGUCCGCAAGGAUGAGACUUAAAGGAAUUGGCGGGGGAGCACUACAACCGGAGGAGCCUGCGGUUUAAUUGGAGUCAACGCCGGA
rnacentral:rRNA from 1 species